rnacentral:rRNA from 1 species
UACGUAGGGGGCUAGCGUUGUCCGGAAUCAUUGGGCGUAAAGCGCGUGUAGGCGGUCCGGUAAGUCCGCUGUGAAAGUCGGGGGCUCAACCCUCGGAUGCCGGUGGAUACUGUCGGGCUUGAGUACGGAAGAGGCGAGUGGAAUUCCUGGUGUAGCGGUGAAAUGCGUAGAUAUCGGGAGGAACACCAGUGGCGAAGGCGACUUCCUGGCCUGUUCUUGACGCUGAGGCGCGAAAGCUAGGGGAGCAAACGGG